AUUGAACGCUGGCGGCAUGCCUUACACAUGCAAGUCGAACGGCAGCAUGGAAGAGCUUGCUCUUCUGAUGGCGAGUGGCGAACGGGUGAGUAAAGCAUCGGAACGUACCGUGUAGUGGGGGAUAACGUAGCGAAAGUUACGCUAAUACCGCAUACGCACUGAGGUGGAAAGCAGGGGAUCGCAAGACCUUGCGCUAUACGAGCGGCCGAUGUCAGAUUAGCUAGUUGGUAGGGUAAAGGCCUACCAAGGCGACGAUCUGUAGCGGGUCUGAGAGGAUGAUCCGCCACACUGGGACUGAGACACGGCCCAGACUCCUACGGGAGGCAGCAGUGGGGAAUUUUGGACAAUGGGCGAAAGCCUGAUCCAGCCAUGCCGCGUGAGUGAAGAAGGCCUCGG
rnacentral:rRNA from 1 species